CAGCGAUUCUAGACAGGACUAGGCAAGAGGGGAAUGGGUGCUGACACUAGAUGGAGGGACCAGCGCCCCCCACACUCCCUGUGGCCUGGGAACCUGGUGAAGGUGUUCAUGAGAAAAAUGCACAAAAUCCCGACUGACCGGAAUAAUUCAUGAAGAAGGGGCUGAAUCCGUGGGUCAGAGAACACAGGACCAGUUUGCCAUCCCAAGGCGGAAGUCUGGUGACUCGGAUUUGGCCCUGCGUUUCCCACUCCUGCUGCAUCUUACCCAGUCGAGGAACGAAAGGUCUUGACACCUUCCUGAAGCAUGGGAAGAAAGGAGGUUCUGAAAGCACAGAUCCAAGACCACCAGAGGCCGGGGACAGCGAUUCCUGGAGGGGCCGCUCACACAACACCAGGAGCUGAGGAGAACUGGAGCAGGAGGAACAUGGGCCCAACAAGGGUGGAAAUACCAGCAAUUCCAAAAGUCAUCUACAUCAGUGCCCAGGACGCCCAUGCAGAACCCACUGAAUGGAAGAAAACGUGGUGGCUGCUUCCUCAAUUUGCAACUGCAGAAGCUGGAAUAAGGGCCUGAGAAGGCAGAGAAGCCACAUGAGUCCAGUCCCAAAGCUGUCAGAGUAACCCUGAGGGAACUGUCUACUGAAUUAUGACCAGUUGUGCCAACAGACAUUGAGAAGAGACCUCCUUUCCAUUGGCUCCUAUCACACCUGGCUGCCACUGCUCCUGGGAUCUGGACCAUCUUGUAUCCACCUUUGAGCGUCACUUCCUGUUUCAGCUGUGGGAGUUCUGGUCCACUUUCCCUGUGAAGAAACCUUCACUUUUUCCUCCUUUGGAGUUCUGGAUUAGACUCUUGUACCUGGAACUGGGUCAAGUUAGGCUAAACGCACCUCUAGGCAUUCCUGUUUCUCAGAAGUUGUCAAGUUCACAUCAUACCUGUUUCAUUGGUGACCAGGGGUCCACUUCUAGCAGAUGCUACCUGGCCUGGUCAGUAUUUUUCAUGGUCAUCUCUUUAGUGCCUUUAUCUCAUCCCCUGCCCAACUCAGGUGAGACUUGCCCAGUGGUGACUUCUCUCCUGGUACUUUAGAUAGGGAGAGAAAAUGUGGCUUGGUGGAUCUGCCAUCUUCUUCAGUUUGGAGGCAAUUGGAGCAUGGCUCCAUCUAGGGAGGAAAAUGACUCCGAAAGAGACUGUCCUUAUCUCAGCUUCUGCCCUGUUCUACUCUCACAAUCCUUAUUCUUGCCCUUUGUGCCUGUCGUAAUGCAGGAGAAUUGUGGUUUUCUUUUUUCUAUUAAAUAUAACUGUAGCUAUUUUCAUUAUUGCAAAACAGCACAAGCUUAUUACGAAAACAUGAGAAAUAUAGACAAUAGAAGACAAAAAAUAUUCCCAAAUUUUAUCCCAAAGACAAGACAACUAUUGAUUCAUAUAGUUAUACAAUAUCAUACACAUAUACUACAUAUAUUUAUAUAUUUAAUGUGACUAUAAUAUCACAAUACCAUUUAUAUUCUUUGAUAACACAUCUUGUCAUUUAAUGUCUUAUGAAUAUAUUUCUAUAGCAACAAGCUCAGCUAUACUGAAAUUUUAAGAGUACUCAAUUGUAUAUAUGCCCUCAUUUAUCUCAUCUCACAUAGUUUAAUGUUUAGGCUGUUACCUCCUUUUCUAUAUUGUCAUUAAUGAUCAUGGAUUUAGUUUAAUCUUCCUAUAAUUAUUUCCGUAAGGUAAAUCCUUAGAAAGGGAUCGAAGGAUGAGUAGUAAAGGUUGCAAAGCUCUCCGAAUCUGGAGCCAGCAAUAACUGCUCAGACUCCCUUAAAAAUAAGAGCUCUAGGAAGGCCACACAUGCCCUUUCCCAGAUUCCUUCCCAUAGCUACACUUGGGCAGCCCUGACUUCUUUCACCUUGCCCUGAACGGAGAAUAGCCCUGAGAGAUGGCUGAGGAACAGGUAGUGAAUGAGCGAGUGGUGGUGUCAGUUUGGGUUUGGUUUUUGGAUAAACUUCACAGUUCCUCAUUGGAUGCUGAGAAAUGAUUAUUCAUUCAUGACCCAUUUAUGGAAGAGCCAUUGCUUCCAGAUGCCAGGCUAGAGGCUGAGAAGACAGAGAUGGAUUAAACAGGAAUUCUUCUCUCAGGAAUAGCACAGCCUAGGGAAGGAAGGCCCGUGAUAGACAGCACACAUUUACUCCAUGAUAAAGAGGAAACGUAUAAGAUCAGUAAUAUAUCUCAGGGAAGAAAACUGGAACCAUCUAAAAUCCCACAGGGAAAAUAUGAGGUUCCUGCAGUCUACUAGCCCAUUCAUCUCAGCUAACACCUUUGUGUGGAUCCUUUGGUGGUGAGACUUGCUCGCUUGUGGUCAUCCUUGCUAAACACAACCUGCCCAAAGGCAUUGACCGUGUCCUUCCUUUGCACCUCUAGCAAACUGGUACCAUCUUAUACCAUGGCUUCUGAAAUCUGUUCAGUGUAAAAUCCAAAUUAGAGUAAACAAAAUUAAAGGUAAAGAGAUUCAUGAGUUGAAACAAAGACUCAAUGUUUUAUGUAUGUAAGAAAAUUUGCAUUAAUUCAUAUCCUUCUGCCUGAUAGAAACUUUCUCAGAUAUUUCAUUAUAGAAGAAACAAUCACAUUCCAGAAAAUGUGGGAAGUAGAGAAAAGGAGAAUUAUCAGCCCAUCUCACCAUCCUAACCCAGGGCAAAUAGCAUUCUAGUGACCUUUGCCCUGAAAAAUUUGUAUUAAGAUGGUGUUGAGGACAAGAGCUAAGGAACAUGUGAGUUUUUCAUCUCCAAUUUUAUUGUGAAUAAAUAUAUCUGAUAGUGAAUUAUAUUCAUGUAGUUCAAAAUUCAAAAACACAAAAACAGAGACUGAAAAGUCCAUGAACCCCAGCCUCUAUUACUUGGAGACAUCCAGGAGUCUCAGUGUCUUGUGUAUCCUUCUAGAGUUUUUGUGCAUAUUAAACCAUGCGUGUUUAUAAAAUAUGAGUUUUGACUAGAGGGCUUUGGCAAAACUGUUACCAAAUGUCCUAAAUUUAGCUAAACUAUCUUCAGUAAUUUUAAUGGCAGGCCUGAGGUACAGAUGGAGAAGAGAAAAGGAUGGAGAGAGCGAGAGAGAGAGAGAGAGAGAGAGAGAGAGAGAGAGUGCUCCUGAGGGAGAGCGUGAAAGAAAGAGCAAUCUUUCAUUUAUCCAACUAGUAUUUAUUGAGCAGAUAUUACAUCUCAGAUAUUAUUCUAUGCCCAGGUGAUACAAGAGUGAAAAAAAUUCCCUGACUUCAUGGGGAUUAAGAAUGGAAGGUGGCAAACAAUAACCAUAAUCAAAAAGUAAAUUAUAAAGUCCAUCAGAAUGUGAUAAGCGUUAUGGAAAAACACAAGUGGGGUCCAGGAGAUGAGGCACAUCAGGAGACAGUUUUAACAUGAGUGGUCAGGGAGGGCUUCACUGAGGAGGCCUUAAAGGAGGCGAGAAGAUGGGCCCUGCAGAUACUCAGGGAAAGGGCACUGCAGAGGGAAGAAGCAAUGCACAGGCCUCGCAGCAGAAGUCAAGGCCUGGAGGUUUCCAGCAGCCAACCUCCUCCAGCUCCGGGCUGUUCCUGGUAACCUGUGCCCGCAGCUGGCUUCCCUUGGAGUUCAGGUCAGGCCGGUGUGUUUGGGCCAUAGUGCUAAGCUUACUGUAUACUAGACGUCAGUUUGUCUUCUCUCUAAAUUUUGAUUCUGAUGCUUAAUUUGACUCCUUCCAAGGUGAUUCUGUGGUUAGUCUGAAUAAGGAAAGGAGAGGGGCAGUGUUAUUGUAGUAGGUAGACAAGGUUGACAUUUGGGGGUCCUGGCUUUUAAACCAAUUCUGUUUUCAAGUCUUUUGUCAGACACAUUAUUCAACCUUUCCGGUCCUCAGGUUUGUCUCUUAGGAAACAAAAAGAAUGUGCUUAGUUGGCUUUAGGGCUGUCCCUACCAUUGGUUUUCAAGCUCUGUGACCAUGUGAGCAGUCCAGGUAGGAAGUGGCAUCAGAUGACAUCUAGCAACACCAGGGGACACAGAGGAGCUUCUGCCUGCAGAGGACUGUGUGCAUGAUAUGUGCCGCCACCUCGUUUCCCUUCUAGACUAGAAGAGCCCAGACCAGAAGAGCCCAGACCAUCCUUCAAAUAGAAUAUUUCACCUGAAUAAGCCCAGAAUUCCCUAAGUGAACAGAGGAGACAUGGGGACACGGUUAAUUGCUUUGUUCUUGUGCCGUUGGCAGUAUGGUUCCCUUUAAGCCCAGAAGGGCUCCUUUCCCCUGCCCCUUGGCGGAGCUCAUUCUCCAUAUGCAGUAGGGGUGGCAUGCUGGGGCCAGGGCUCCUUGUUUUGUUCCUGUGGGCCACAGAGGUCCCCUCCCUGUUUAGUGUCUUCCAGUUGGACACAGGGAGUCUUCGUCUACCUGGGGAAUAAGACACUGAGGAGGAGGGAAGCGUGUCAUGGACACCACUCUCCUUCCAGCAAAGUCACUGUGAAUUUAAAACUCAGACUGUGUGUAAGAGGUUGUGGGGGCAGAAAGGGGCCUUUGGAAAUUUCAUUUGGAGGCAGAGGUGCUAAACAUGAAUAGAAGCCUUUGCUUUGACUCUCAGAGGGUGAGUCACCUUGGUUAUAGUUACUCUUGGUUAUUCCUUGCUUUUUCUUUUGUUAUCUCCGCCCGCACCCCCGCCAUACCCACCCAUCUUUAGCAUUCUUAGCUGCUUUUCUACAGGUCAGCUGAAAAGUGACUUGCAGAAUAGGGCUUCUCUUCCCCUAUUGGAGUUCAUGGGCAUUAUGUUUCCUAGCACUGGGAGGAAAUAUACACGACCAUGCACUUUCCACUCAUAAAGGACCCUGAGGUAUUUAAUUGUGAAAAUCAACUUCUGAUUUAUGUUACUUUCCCAGUGCCUUUUCUUUACACACAUAUGAAAAUUGCUCUAUUACUUCUUACAUUUCAUGCAGUGCCCUUUGUCUCCAUCAACUGUUGUGGAGAGAAAUUUUAUUUGGAAUAUUCAUAACAAGUCUAUCGCUAAUUAUCACUUUAACAAUGUGUUAUGGAGUGUAUCCAUGCAGUCAUCUGGAAAAGCACAUAUGCCAUGAAAUUUGGGGACUUGCUGUGUGCUGUAGGUGCCCAGUCUCAGUGUUUCAUCAGAUCUUUGCUUGGGGAGGAGGUAGAGGUGCUUUGUGAGGGAGUAUGGAGGCCUGCAUCCUGCAUUCCUGUCCUCAUAGCAACAGUUUCCAGGGUGACUUGUUUUUGAGUGUAAAAAAAACCUUAAUGUGAAACAAAAACCCUUCCCUACUCUGCAGCCCUAUUACGGUCAGCCCAGGUCAGUGCCAGGUAGACUGAUCUUAGCCACAGAGCUAAUCGCAGAUGAAGACCCUGCUGUUCUUGGUGCCAUCCUGGCACUCUGGCAAGAAGAGUGGAGCUAAAAUUGCCACCUGGUUGGCAGGCCUCAGAAGCAAAUGGAGAGUGACCUCAGCAUGUCAGAAUGAGAAAGGAAAGAAUGCCUCGGCGUUUCUUUCUUCCUGCUCUCUUUUCUCUGGGAAAGGAGAAUGGACUCACACUGGGUUUCUUCUCCAGGAUUCUCAGUGAGUCUGGGAUUUGGGAGGCUAGAAUCAUAUUUUUACCAGGACACAUGGAGCGCUUCCCUCUGAAGCUUCCUGAUGGACAUGGAUGAAGCCCCAGAGGCUGCCUCCAAAUGAGGGCAGAGUAAUGGAGCCUAAUGGAGCACAGCUCCUAGUCUGAGCACAGUCCUACCGCAGGGAUAAAUCAAGCAGCCUUUAGGUGGGGCCAGGAAGGGGACAGAGGGAAAUGAAUGACUGUGUUGAGCUCAGCAUGACUUUGUGGAUCCUCUGAAGCUUUUAACUAAGUGGAGGAUUCAGACUCAGGAAUUUACUGAGGAAUAUGACUUGGAAGGAUGGAAAGUUGCAUCUGUUAUAACAAGCUUUUAAGGAUGAGUUUUCAGAGCACUUGGAGCCUGGUUUUGUUGGAUGUUACUUUAGAAAUAAUAACUACUUAUUAUUUGUUAAGUGCUUACUCAGUACUAGGCACAUUGUUCAUCAUAAUCAAUAAUACCUAACAUUGAUGGAGUAUUUGUGAUGUACCAAACUCUCAAGCACUUUAGAUUCUGACUUAACUAGGUCCUAGAAGGAAGCCCCCAUUGGAGCCAUCACUAAUAUGUAGAGAAAUUGAGGCUCAGGGUAUUAGAUAACUUACCAGAAACACUAAGGAAACCAGUAGCUUUAGGUCAGUCACUUACCUGUUUCAGGACACAGAGCACAGAGGCUUUCCCCCUUUACCCUUUAUGAAACAGCAGGAGAGGACGGGGGCUGUAUCUCAGUGGUAGAGCUCUUGCCUAGCGUGUGCAAGGCUCUGGGUUUGAUCCCUUGUACCACAAAAACAAAACAACCAUAACAACAGCAAAACCAGCAGGAGAAAGUGCUGAGAAACAGCAAGAAAGUGGGGCACUGAAAGGGGACAGGAGUCUGUGUAGCCCUGGGUCAGUGCUGGUACAAAGCUGGCCUUAUGACCUGGGUGCUUUGCAUCUGUUAUAAUGCACUGUGAAAACCCAGUGUUAGCUGUUGUCCUAAAGAACUGAUUCAAUAAACCCUACAUUUCUGGACAUUUGGUUUCCUUGUUUCUAUUUGGGUGGCACUAGGAUUUGGGAGGAGCUAGUUGGGAAUGUAUUUAAGGAGGAAAACUUUGGAUGUGGUUUUAGAAACAAGGCACCACAACCAGACUGUGAUGCAGGCUUCAUCUGUGGACAGGUGUAUGUGGACAGGUGCAUUGUGCAGGCACCAGCGCGGGCAGAGGAAGUGGUAGGUUUGAAGGUAGCAAAAUAGGGCGGCUUUGUUGUUGUCUGGCAUGGGCCCUGCCAGGCCACAUCCAUUAACUAUGCCAACACCACUGCUAAUAGGUGGGUGAUUCAGCUCCUUCCUGCAUUUUAUUGCCCAACAGAGACUUUAAUAGCCUUUUGAUUUAGCAAGUUAACAAAGUAAGCUCUCAAGCUCCACUGUUUAACACCAGCUGGAUGACCCUGGGCCUGCUGCUGCCUGGAGCCCUCUGGUACAGUCUUUGCAUUGAAAGAAGAGAAAGCUGUGGAAUUUUCAGGCUCUCCUCGAGAGCUCCUUUUGGGGCAGCCCUGCCAGCCCAGCAUGCUUAGACCCCUCCGAUGUCAUAUGUCGCCCCCGCCCCCAUCAGUCCAGCCGCAGAAGAGAUCUGUCUAGAAGUUAAUAUCCCAGGAACCUAAAGGUUGGGUGUCUUUGAGGAAGAGUGUCAGAUGAGAAUGUGAGGGUUCCCGGAUGGGGCUCUUUAUUGAUUUCCUGGAACUAUUGUGUAACAAAUUAUCACAAACUGGAUAAUUUAAACAAUAAACACAUUCUACCACAGUUCUAAAAGCCAGAAGUUUGAACUCAAGGUGUUGGUAGGGCCAUGCUCCCUCAGAAGGCCCUAGAGAAGGACCUUUGCAUGUCUCUUACUGGCUUCUGGUGGUUGCCAGUGAUCCUUACUGUCCCUUAGCUCGUAGACACAUCACUCUGUCUCUGCCUCUGUGGCCACACAGCCUUCUCCCUGUGUACGUCUUAUAAGGACACAAGCUGUAUUGGAUUUGGGGUCCACACAACUCCAGGAUGCUCUCAUCUUAACUAGUUACAGCUGGAAAGGCCCUGUUUGAAAGCAACAUAAGAGUCUGAGGUUCUGGGUGGACCUGAAUGUCCAGGCCCUUUAAAAGCAAGUGAAAAGAGGUAGGCCAUGUGGUAGCUGAUUCACACAGCUAGAGAGAGGUGGUUUCAGACAACACUUUCUGGUACAACUUUGUGCAGUGAUGGGAAGGCCCUGUAGCUGCACUGCUGAAAAUGUGGCUAAUGCGACAGAGGAACUGAAUUUAGCAUUGUGAUUGAUUUAAAUUAAGUUAAACAGUCAAGUCAUGUGACCAGGGGCUACUGUUGCAGAGAGCAAAGCCCUCAACCAGUGAAGGUGAACCUUUUAGAAACUGAGUGCCCAAACUGCAACAUAGAACCUACUUAUUUAUCGCAAAGUGCCAACACUGCCAUUAAACCCGAAUACUGAGGCUUUAGUUUAGAAAAGACAACUCAUAUAAUAAUAUCUUUUGUCUUGAAAGAAAAACAAAUAACACACGUGUCAUAGGUUCACCACCGCUGCCCUAAACCCUCCUGAGUGUGGAAUAGGAGAAGGAGACGUGAAGGCUGUCAAAGUCUGGGCAGGGCCAUUUGCAUCCAGGAUGGCCAUCAGCUGUUUAGGAUGCUGAUCAAGGUCUGCAGGGGUCUCUUUCCGUCUCCGGCUAGAGGAAGGACAUCACAUGGGAUCUCAGCACACAGGACAAUGGUCUCGGGAGUUCUUAAACCAGCAGCACCUCUUCCAAAGGAAGUCAUUUGUACUUUUGACAUGUAGGACCAUUAGUUGGAAGAGAGGCUGAUUUGGAUGGAGGUCAGAGACCUUCAUAGGGUUCCACCUUGCCUUCUCUUGAACCCUGAACCACAAAGUGAGGAAAUUAUGGUUGAGCCUACCAACCAUGUGAGAGAACAAGAAAUGGAGGUUCAGAGAAGUAGAGAAACUUAACAAGGUCACAGAGCAAGUGGUUUGAUGAAUAUCGUUAUCUUUGGAUUUCUGAGGAUCCAUUCCUGGGUCCUUCUAAAGUCCUUGAUGCCCUUUUUGAAAGAAGAUACUCAGUCUACUAGUCAGCUACUAUGAAAAAACUACUCUAAGGUCAGAUGCAACUUCUGGCUUAAUCACAACAGAAUUAAUGUUUGUUCGGUUGCUGGUUUUGUUUUGUGAACUGGCUGAGAUCUGUAGGUGAGUAUUAUGCAUGGGUACCCUUUCCAGGUGCCACUCAUCAAAUGCACACUAUAUGCCAUUACAGGCUGAGUAGAGUCCUUCAUUUCAUUGUAUCAUUGAAUCUCCAUAGGUUGGUGAUGUUGGUAUUACUGAUCCCAUUUGGGGAAAACUGAGGCUCAUGGGAGUGGGAGGCAGGGUUCCCAACCCAUGCCUUUUGCUCAGGGAGUUGCUGUCUCCUUAGAAGGAUGGUAAAGAAAUAUAAAAUAUCUGUCAUGAAUUAGGAAGAAUGUCCUAAAAUCUCAAGGUGCCAUUUAAAGGCAAAGACCAGUGUGGCUCGUGAGGGAAGGAGAGGCCAGACCAGGAGGUGACCACAAGCAGGUACAAGGCAGCCAGGCAUCCCAACGCAAUGCUGUGGUAAGAAAGCAAGGAGUAGAACAGCGUUGUGGAAAGUGAAAACCGCCUAGGAUGUGUGGGAGGCUGGAGGCAGAUGGGUGUGGAUGAGAAGGGCAAUAGGAGGGAUCCUUGUGUGAUGGAAAUGCUCUGUCUUUUCCCUGUAUCCAUGACUUGCCAUGAUAUUGUGGUAUAAGGUAGUUUUGCAAGACGUCGGCAUUGGGGGAAACUGGGUGAAGGGUACGUGAGAAUUCUAUGUGAAUCUAUACAAGUUUAAUUUUUAAAAUAUAUACAGAGUCUACUCCCAAAAAUGUAUAUACACUCCAAGAAAAGAAAUAUAGGAUGAUGUUUUUCCAACCCUCGUAUGGGGGAUCCUAGAGGAUGUCGUAUAUCGCAGAAAACCCACUCCACUGCUAGCCCUUAGAGAAGAAAUUAAAAGUACACGUGCAGCAAUUUCAAUGACCAAGGUUACACAAGCAGUAGUUGGCUGUACUAACAAAGUUCUGGAAGCCAGUGACCACACUUUGGCCACCUCUUGUAACUGUAGAGGCUGAAGGUAACUUACAUUAAACUCAUGAUGUCUCAAUAAAUUUAGUAUUAAAAUAUUUAUACAAGCUUUUCUUUUCUUGAAGUGCAUAUACUUUUUUGGUGAACUCUGUAUAUAUAUGGGAGAGAGAGUGGAGUUCACAGACCCCCAGCCCUUCACCCCUUGCAUGCACUCCAGGAGAAGCUUGCAUGGUGUCUUUUUGCAGCAAGGUAUCUUCAGGUGUCUGUCCUGGAUGCCUUUGGGCAGGACCAAGAGGAAUACAUGCCUGAGAGCUAGGCAGAUGGCACUCGGAGAGACAGAUGGCCAGAAUCCCCAGAGGUGGGAGCACUCACUGAGCACCUACUAGGUGCCAGGUGCUGUUCCAGGGCUAGAGACUGAGGUUAGGAAAGCUGGUGCAGCUUCCCACAGGUUUGCAUUGUACAGUUGAAGACAGAUGUAAACCAGGAACAGGGCAAUGCCAGGUGGUGACAGGUGCUGUGAAGAAGAUGAAAGAGCAGAGUGUGACAGAGUAGCUGGGGGCUGCUUUUGCUGGAGCAGUCAGGGAAGGCUUCUUUGAGGAAAACCUAAGUGAGAAGGAGGCAGCCAUGGGGACAUGUGAGGGAGAGUAUUCUAUGCAGGAGGAAGAGCAGGUGCAGGAUCUCUGAGACAGGAAUAAGCUUGUGCACGAGGGGCAAGAUGAAGACCAUAGGAAGGGAAGCACUGGCAUUGGGAGCUGGAGGGCGAUGAAGCUAAAAAGACAGGCAAAGGCCAGAUCCUAUAGGCAGGUGCUUGCAGAUGUUGGUAAGGAGUUGGUAUUGGGAGUCUCUGGCAGGUCUGAAGUAGGUACAUGGCCAGCUAUGUGUGGAUGGGUUUUAGAAGGGCAGGAGUGGAAAAUAGUAGACCACAUUGUACUACUGCAAUGGUCCAUGCAAGAGGGCAGUGUCAUGAGUAGGGCUUUGGCAUUGGCAUGGGAAACCUGUUGGAUUGGGGUUGCUCUGAGAGGAGAGCUAUCAGAGAUUUGCUGGUGGUUUACACAUGGAUGCGAUGGCAAGAAAAAGAUCCAGGAUGAUUCCCAGGUCUGCUGUUUCAUUCUAUCCCAGCUAACUCCAAAGGACUGGUCAGAGAAUGUCCUUCAGAGAAUAGCACUAAAAAUAGAUGAGAAUUGGGCUGAGCCUCAAAAAGUGUGGGUUGAAGGGGUGACCCCCUCACCAGUUUCACCACUCUGGUCCUUAGGCUCUUUCUUGCUGCAGGGAGCAGACCUGCUCUGCUUUUCUUGUACAUGGAGCUGAUUGUAAGAUGGUGGUGAGGUGAGGGGGUUUGGCAGCCAUCCUGGCAGUGGUCCUGUGACACCCAGGAGAACGGGGGCACAGUCUUCCCCCACCUAAGCAGCUAUCAGCAGACAUCAUAUACUGUCCAUGUCUCCACUGUUCUGAGCCAGCUGUGGUUUGGAGCCCCCUGCAGACAUGCUGCCUCCUCCUUCACUCUCUGGGCUGCACACUCCAGAUGCCCUGCAGGGAGAGUCUCCUAGGAUUGGCUGGUCCAUCCAGGCCAUGUCUGCAGGGCAGAGGGCUCGGGCCAGGCCAUUGCCAAGGCAGCUGGAGUCCUUGAUGCAUCCCCCAAAAGCCAUUGCCUUUGACUUGUUCUGGGCCUAGUUGUGGCCCAAGCAUCAUGGAACAGAAAAUGUGCAUAGCAGCACAAGUGCCCGGGGCUGGGUGUGACCUCCAGAGGUGUGGCAGGCAUUGGCAUAGACGUCCUGGACACAAAAGCUGUGCAAUUCAGGAAGGCCAGUGUCCAGUGGAUGAGAAGGACCUAACAUGUCAGUAAGGUGGACAGCUUCUGUCGGCAAAAGUGGGAGGCACGCAGAAAAUAACCUUGGAUUUGUGUAAUAGUAUCUCUUGUGAUGUGGGAUUAAUUUUAUCUUUGGUGCUGCAUCUUUGGUGGCCCAGGGAACGCUGCAUUUCUCCACUCUCUUCCGUCCAUCAAAGUGGCUCCUCAAAGAGCACUUCUCACAUUCCUCACCCCAAGGAUAGAACAGAAUCACCUCAAGCACAGAACCAUGGCCCUAGGGGACAUGGCCUUCACCUGCUUCCUUUUUAUCUGCCUCGCCUAAUUCAUCUUUCCUUUCUUUUUCUCCCUUAAUCCCUCGAAGUUAGCCAGGGAGGGGCAGAAAGGAAUCUUGGUUUUUGUCUGACUCUAUAGGAGUACAGUUGCUAGAACUGAACUGUGUUUCCCCUAAAUUCCUAGGUUGAGCCCGAAUCCUACUGUAAGUGUAUGUGGACAGAGGCCUUGAGGGGGGAAAGGGUCCUGCAGAGCACUGGUAUUCUUAGGAGAAGAGACGCUAGAGGUUGCUUCCUCCCCUGCACACACAGAGGAAAGUUCAUCGGGGUCAGACAGAAGGCAGAUGUCUACAAGCCAGGAAGAAAGUCCUCACUAGACAGCUAAUCCUCAGAACCUUGAUCUGAGACUCCGCAGCCUCCAGAACUUUGUGAAAUUACAC
rnacentral:lncRNA from 1 species